AGAGUUUGAUCCUGGCUCAGAUUGAACGCUGGCGGUAUGCUUAACACAUGCAAGUCGAACGGUAACAGCGGAGCUUGCUCCGGCUGACGAGUGGCGGACGGGUGAGUAACGCGUAGGAAUCUGCCUGAUAGUGGGGGACAACCUGGUGAAAACCAGGCUAAUACCGCAUACGCCCUACGGGGGAAAGCGGGGGAUCUUCGGACCUCGCGCUAUCAGAUGAGCCUGCGUCGGAUUAGCUAGUUGGUAAGGUAAUGGCUUACCAAGGCGACGAUCCGUAGCUGGUUUGAGAGAACGACCAGCCACAUUGGGACUGAGACACGGCCCAGACUCCUACGGGAGGCAGCAGUGGGGAAUAUUGGACAAUGGGGGCAACCCUGAUCCAGCAAUACCGCGUGUGUGAAGAAGGCCCGAGGGUUGUAAAGCACUUUCAGUAGGGAAGAAAUGCCUGGGGUUAAUAGCCUUGGGUCUUGACGUAACCUACAGAAGAAGCACCGGCUAACUCCGUGCCAGCAGCCCGCGGUAAUACGGAGGGUGCAAGCGUUAAUCGGAAUUACUGGGCGUAAAGCGUACGCAGGCUGUCAAGUCAGUCAGAUGUGAAAGCCCCGGGCUUAACCUGGGAACUGCA
rnacentral:rRNA from 1 species